GGGUACCGCUUUCCUGUCGUCUGUCUGUUCGCUCCGCUCGGUACAAGCGGCUGGCGGGCAUA
rnacentral:ncRNA from 1 species